rnacentral:rRNA from 1 species
UACGUAGGUCCCGAGCGUUGUCCGGAUUUAUUGGGCGUAAAGCGAGCGCAGGUGGUUUAUUAAGUCUGGUGUAAAAGGCAGUGGCUCAACCAUUGUAUGCAUUGGAAACUGGUAGACUUGAGUGCAGGAGAGGAGAGUGGAAUUCCACGUGUAGCGGUGAAAUGCGUAGAUAUAUGGAAGAACACCAGUGGCGAAAGCGGCUCUCUGGUCUGUAACUGACGCUGAGGUUCGAAAGCGUGGGUAGCAAACAGG